ensembl:lncRNA CASC15 cancer susceptibility 15
GGAGAACAUUUACAGAGGACUGUGGGUAAAGCAAAGUCUUCAAGGGAAGAUAACAAAGGAUGAAACAAUGGUGUUGUGUGACUUCCUAUGAUGUUUACUCUUCUGCAUGUGUGUGAGUCAUGGCUGGUUUAAGGCCAGCACAAGAAUGGAUCAUGCAGGGGAGGUGGAAGCUCUCAGGAGAAAUCUACAAGACCACAGGUUGGAGACAGAGCUCAGAGACAGAAAAGCAUUUUUCCUUUAGAACAUAGAAGUACCAUUCACAAGAGUACUGUGCUCCUGGCGGUAUUUUCCAACAGAGAAGGGAAAGUCCUGUCUUCAGUUCGUUUUUAAACUUAAGCUGCUAGAGGACCUCAGGUGUGAAUCAUGGCAAUACAGUGAAAGACAGUGAUUUACUGCUUUUGAGGGCGUGCAUGUAUAUGAUUAACGGAUGGAAGUGCAGGACUCCAAGAUUUACUUCCUUCCCUUUCCAGCAGAAUUACCUGAGACGAAGAACUUUUGUUCACAUCUUAUACAAAACAGGUUCAAAUGAACAAAUCGAAUUGUCUGUUAUCCUAAGAAAUGCUAAAUUGUCCAGAAUAGACCUGCAUUAACAAAGUGUAAAGUGAAACAAGAGACCAGUUGGCAGAGAGAGAAAAGAGAGAGAUUUCGACUAAAGCCUAGAAGAAUAGGUAAUGAAUGACUACUCAGAAAGAAGGUAAAAUCUACUGGUGGAGUCACUCCAUUAUUCUUAUCUGUGGAGAUCUAGAUCUUGAUUUGAAAGUUUCUGAGAAAAUCUUCAGCUCAGACUUGAGGGUCAACUUUACCAGCUGAAGUGACUACAUCCUGCCUGCUUUCAGCUCCAGUGGAAAAUGCAUUAAUCCCAGAGUCUCCGUGAGGUUUCCUGUUUGAUGACAUAAUCAGAAAAUCCUCCUCACAUUGCCCUUGGGGUUGCUGUCUGGAUGUUAUGUUGUCUUGGAUCUGCAUUUACUGCUCAACCACAUCUAAUUUGAUGUCCUCUGCAGAUUUAAAAUGUGUGCCUUCUUUUCCGUCACCAAGUCAUCCCUGGGUUACUACUGAACAUCCUUCUCAAUUCCCCCCGACCCAUGGAUGGCUGUUCUCCAUUGUCUGUUUCACCAGAUGUCCUCAAAACAAACAGACAGAAGAAGGAAGUGGCUAAUGUUCUGGAGACCAGAAGGCCAAAAUCAAAAGUAUGGGCAGGCUUGAUUUCUUUAGAAGACUCCAGCGGAGAACUGUGUCUCCUUGCUUCUGAUUCUACAUCUCCAUCCAUGGGCCACUGUUUCAGCAACCUCAGCCAGUGCAACACAACCUCAGCCAAGAAGAGUAUGCAGAGAAAGGAGUCCCCUACCUGCCACAAAACUGUUGUCUGAAAACUGUCUCAUAUUGUCUCAAGUUGUCAUUCAUUGUGAAUUAGACCUGUUUAACAUGUAAUCUGCAA